AAUCAACGCUGGCGGCGUGCCUCAGACAUGCAAGUCGGACGAUUAAAGCUCUCUUCGGAGAGUGCAUAAAGUGGCGCACGGGUGAGUAACACGUAAGUAAUCUACCUUCGAGUGGGGAAUAACGUCCGGAAACGGACGCUAAUACCGCAUAACGCAGCGGCAUCGCAAGAUGACAGUUGUUAAAGAUUUAUCGCUUGAAGAGGAGCUUGCGGCAGAUAGCUUGUUGGUAAGGUAACGGCUUACCAAGGCUACGAUCUGUAUCCGGUCUAAGAGGACGGUCGGACACACUGACACUGAAUAACGGGUCAGACUCCUACGGGAGGCAGCAGUCGGGAAUUUUGGGCAAUGGGGG
rnacentral:rRNA from 1 species